UCUGAGCGCCAGAUCCGCCGGUGAGGAGACUGGGGUUACAGGAUCUGGCGGCCCUGGCCUCCUCACUGGGAGAUCUGGCGGCUCAU
rnacentral:pre_miRNA from 1 species